rnacentral:lncRNA from 1 species
AGCCCACAACCUGAUCCCUGCCCUCCCCAACAGUGGACCGGCCACCACAUUUUUUCAGAUCCUCCUCACCCAACCCAGCACAGCACUCACCCUUCUGCGAAGAAGUCGGCACCCAGUCCAGCUCCGAGACGGGUCGGGGUGGCAGCGAGGGAGGGGGCGUCUGGGCUGUGGGCGGGGGGUGUCUGUGCGUCACUCGAGUACAGGACGGUGAGUUCGAGGGGUGGGAGCGCAGAGGAGCGGGGAAAUCAAGUCACGGCCGAAAAGGGAGAAGGAGAAACGGAGGGGUGGGGAACAGACUUUAAUUUAAAGGGGGGAAAAUUGAGCGAGGGCUGGAGGGGAGACAGAGGGAAGCGGCUCUGGGUCUAUCCCAUGCCUUUGCAGUCCCCAGGCAGAGGAGGAGGCUGGCUGAGGGGAAGUUGCAGCGGCUCCCGAGGAGGAGGAGGAGAAGGAGGAGGAGGAUGUUACACCGUAACAAGUACAGACAGACAGCCAUGGAUCAGAGGGGCGCUGCAAGCAGGAGCAGGGGCGGCCGCGGCGGGGCGAGCGGCGGCGGGCGGCAGCACCGCCUGCUCGGCUCGCUCAAGACAUUUAAUUGGAUUGAUGGGUUGUGCAGUGACUCACAGACUUUACAGAGUCGUACAGCAAUCCCCGCCCAGCUGGACAGGGGUGAUGCGGCGGGGACGGGCGGGGUAAGGGGGCCGAGAAAGAGGUGAGCUAGGAGGCGGCGACGAGAGGUCUCUUCCAGUGCACAACCAAAUUUUCAGGAAUUUGGAAAUGUGUCAUGAGCACACAAAAGACACUGGAUUUAAACAAAUGUGAGUUAUCAUAUGGUGUGGACUAAAACCAUGUGAAACCAAGAGCAAUAGCAUUAAGAUGGAUGAUGAGGAGCAAGGGAAAAUGGAAAUGGCGAGACUGUGGCCAGUGUUAGGCCGACAUUGCAGCAGAUCUACAUUCCGCCGUGAGAACAGACAUGGGGACAAAAGCCCAGACCUGGUUGGAACUCCAAUAUGGUGCUGGUAGCCAGCUGUGACCAAGAAGAGGACAACCGGAGCAACAAUCUUAGACACAAGGAUGGAAGCUGUAAGGCAGGGGAGGAGUUCCAGGGUCCCUGGAGAACUUCAUGGAGCUGAGGACGUCCUUCCUGUUUUGUAGUGUUGCAUGAGAGAGGAAUAACAUUCUAUAUUAUUUGGCUGGGCGCGGUGGCUCAUGCCUGUAAUCCCAGCACUUUGGGAGGCCGAGGUGGGCGGAUCAACUGAGGUCAGGAGUUCAAGACUAGCCUGGCCAACAUGGCAAAACCCCGUCUCUACUAAAAAAUACAAAAAUUAGCCGAGCGUGGUAGAGCAUGCCUGUAAUCCCAGCUACGCAGGAGGCUGAGGCAGGAGAAUCACUUGAACCCUGGAGGCAGAGGUUGCAGUGAGCCGAGAUAGUGCCACUGCACUCCAGCCUGGGUGACAGAAUGAGACUCUCAAAAAAAAAAAAAACACCUGUAUUAGUUAAGCCCUGUCAUAUCGGAUCUUUUUGUCACAGCAGCUAGUUUAUGCUGUAGCUAAACCACUGCGCUUCUGUCUUGUUCUGAUAAUCUAGGUCUCCACCUACCCAUAAAUCCCCCCUACAGCCUGUGCCUGGGUCCUGGUAUCCUGCUGACCUACAAAUAUCUUCCUGGAUUCCUGAAUAUCACCACCUCCAGGAUUAUUGAGCCCCACGCUCUGUCUGUUGGGACACUUCCACUACUCUGUGUGGAGCUGCCUUAUGCAGACUGCUGGCACUACCAGAGUUUGCCUGCCACCACACCCUUCAGAUUGUCAGGCUCUAGCUUCGCUGUCCCUUCAGCUGGCUUUGUCUCCCUGGAGUCUCCCCACUCCAGAUAGAAAGUUGGCCUUGAGGCCCUAACUCUUUCUUGUCCAUCCUGUCCUGCAGCAAUUAACUAGGCCCCUCCUGGCUAUGUCCUGAGUUAUAUAGGGAAAGGUUUGCCUGGCUCCUCACAGGAAGCAUACCAUGGAAGUACAAAUCCCUACCCCCAAUACCUUCCCUGGCUUACCCUGAAGCUGAGUAGAAUUUCUGCUCGCAGUGUCAAACCAGCUGGUGACUAUAUAGGGCUUUUUCAAUAGAGAUACAUUUCAUUCUUUGCUAGCUUACACUUAUGUUUGUUUUCCUUCCUGCAACUUUACGGCGGACAUCAGAUACUGAUGUUUGCCUGAGGAUGUGUACUGCUUCAGGAACACAAAUUUCACAUUUGGAAUGUGCACAAGUCUAACUUCAGGUUAACAAUCACCUGUGCUCAUAGUAAGAAAUGCUUUUGAUUAACACCGGGGUGUGGAACAAAACUCAUCUGGAAUCCUAGAUUAGGCAACUACUAUUUAUUUAUGCAAAACAGUAAAGUCAUUAGAGCCCCCAUUCCUGGUAAUUGUCUCAGAAAAUGCAUUCCCUGGCCUCACAAUUCGUUUUAUACAAAGCAAGAAGUUAUUUGGGUUAAUAACCUUGAGUUUUAAUGACUCAAUCAAUAUUUUGGUUUCUGCAGGCUGCUUUGCUACUGUAAAUUUUGAGUACAGUGCUUGUGGAGUAUAUAAAUAUUUAGCUAGUCAUUGAAGCAUCAGUUAAUGAAAUAAUUUAAUCUUUUCUUUAAUUUAGAAAAUACUGUUGGCAAUGAACUGGUAUGAGGUGUUUAUUUCAGCUGCUCUCAUAGACUGGGAAACCAAAUUGCUGCUGUGCUGUAUGGUUUAUUACUUUGUCACAUUGCAAAUCCAUACUGCAAGUAUCUCUUUUAGAUUAAUCUCCUUCAAAUAGAUCUUGAAUAACCUAGUCACUUGCCUCAGAUGGUUUUAUCCUGAUUUUAAAUUUACAACCAUGCUUCUCUGUCUGUUUUAAGAUUUGCAGUAUUGUGUGUUUGUGUGUGCAGUAAAUUUACACAUGUACUAGGAAUCACAACCAGGACUGAUUACAGAUUUCUUCCUUUUAGAAUGUGAUGACUUUGAAAAAGAAAAACCUAUAUAUUCAGAGUUCAAAUACCAAAUAUAGCUUUCAAAUACCAAAAUGGCCAUGUGAAGCUUUCUUUCAACUGGUUAUUUUGUCUGAAUCAAAGCUUCCAAAAAUGUGUUCCUCGGCAUACAUAUUCUUGGGAUGCUAAAAGGAUUCUACUUUGUUUCUGUUUGGAAAUUCAAAUGAAAACAAAAAAGAUUAUACAAUCCAGUUAUUAGUCUCUUCACUAGCCACAGGGAAUCUUGAGGUUGAAGGAUUGUACAUACUUAGUCCUUUAUUUUUCAAGCUGAAUUAUUAGGAGGGAUUGUCUUGGUCUGUUUUGUGCUGCUUGAACAGAAUACCACAUACUAGAUAAUUCAUAAUGAACAGAAAUUCAUUGGCUCACCGUUCUGGGGGCUGGGAAGUCCAAGAUAGAGGGGCCAGUGUCUUAUGAGGGCCUUCUUGCUAUGUCAUCCCAUGGCAGAAGGGCAAAGGAGGGUGGGGAACUCAUCCUUGUAUAAGGAAUCCACUCCUGAGAUAACAAAAUUAAUCCAUUCAUAAGGGCAAUGUCCCCAUGACCCAAACAUCUUCCACUAGGCCCCACCUCCCAACACCACUGCAUUGGGGAUCAAGAUUGCAACACUCAAGAACUUUGGGGGACAUAUUCAAAUGAUAGCAGAGCUUUAGCUCUUUAACAGUGACCUAGAAAAUAACUACCAAUGAUUGCAAGUUUUUCUAAUACGUGAUUGGUUGGUGCCAGCUCUUGGUAGUAAAAUUGAAUCAGUAGAAUCAGCAAAUAGUUCCAAAGGUUUUUACUGAAAAAAAAAAGCUCUGACUUUUUAAAUCAGGGACUUUGAAUAUCAACUGAGUAUUAGAUUAUAUUAAGGAACUAUUUCAAUCUUGACGGAUGUGAUAAGGACACCUUAUGUAAGAAGAUCGCCCCAUUGUUAGAUGCAUACUCUGUACAAUAACAUAUGCUGUCUGAAACUUCAUUGAAGAUACUUCAGGAAAAAGAAGUGACUAUAGAUAAAACAAAUAGGACAGAAUAGUAAUGGUUAGUGAUGGCUGGUGAAACUCGGUGAUGAGUCCAAAAUGCUCUUAUAUUCCCCAGUUUUAUUUAUACUCAAUUUUCAUAAUACAAAAUAGAAAAGAGUUCUGUGGUCAAAUAAGCUUUGAGAAACCCUGGUUUUAAUAAAAUUAAUUUAGGCAUUUUUUUUUUUUUUUUACCGUAUGCCUUUUUAUGUAUAUGUAACUGUGUGUGUAAAUCUUUUAAUUUUCUCUUUGAUUAAAAGAAAACUUUUUUUAAAGACUGAUAUUCUGCCAAAUAUGCUAACUAACUCUAGGAAUGACUGCAUUCUACCUAACAACCAGUUUGGAUUGAAUUGCCUGCACUGACCACUACUGGACUGCAUGAUCAAAACAGGUGGCUUAUGCUUUUUUUUUUCCCCAUCUCUCUAUUUCAGUCAUAGGCAGCAGAUCCCUGUGGAUGAGCUUCAACUUCAGGGAGGUCAGCCACUUACUAGCUCUCUAAUCCAGGCGAGUCAUUAAACCUCUCUGCCCCUCAGUUCCUUCAUCUGUAAAAAGGGAUAACAAUAUUACCUACUUCACAGGAUUACCAUAUAGAAUAAAUGAGAUAACACCUGCAAAGCAUUUCACAUCCUUCUUGGAACACGGUAAGUCCUCAAUAAAAUCUGGAAUUAAAGAAUUAAACUCAUUCUUUAAAGGCCAGCUUACAUAAUAUGUGUAAUGGAACUUUCUGAGUUUCCUCUACUCAGGAUUAAUUCCUUUAUCUUCUGCAUUCUGGCAGUUCUAUACCUCUAUAUGUAUGAUUUAAUUGUAAAUGUCUCAAGGAUAGGGACCAUGUCUUAUUCAUCUCAGUAUCACUCCAGCAUUCUAAUACAGGCUAUCAAGCCCCAAUGGAUAAAAAAGAGGGUGGGGGGUCAUCUUGGCAAUUCAGCUUCCUUUAAUCCUUGAAAGACCCAUACAAUACCACUUACCUACCAAUGCACAACCACAUCUAGCUGCAAGAGAGGCUAAGAAAUGUAGUCUUUAUUCUAUACAUUGAAGCAACACCCUAUCUAUCUAUCUAUCUAUCUAUCUAUCUAUCUAUCUAUCUAUCUAAGAUGAAGCCAAAGGAUCAAGACUAGUUCUGUAAAGAGUACAUUGCCUGCUUUCAGUGACUCUUUCUGCCUUUAAUAUACUGAUUUCGGGAUAAGAAAACAACAGCUUCCUGAUAUUAUAAAUAUCGUUGAGCUUUUGUCAUACUAGGAAAUACCUUUGUAUUGACACACUCAAAUACUAUUCAGAAAAAAAGCCUUCAAAUCCAGAAAAGAAAUAACAUAAGUGCCUCUGUAGCAGUAACGUCCCCACUGAGGCACAGCAAGCUCAAACACUGAGCAUUUUGACAGGAAAACACGCAGAUAUUUACUUUGGCAACAGAUAGAUUUCACAGUUAUUACUUCCCAGGUCUAAGCUAUAUAGUCAUACGUCUUCCAAAAGAACACACAGACAGCAAUAUAAAACCCUGGCUUUAAUCAAAUUAUACCUGUUUCUUUAGUGUGAGCAAAGCUCUCUGCCAAUACAUAAGCAUCUUUUCAUUUGGUUUGCCUGAUGUGGCAUAUGAGUGAGAAAUCAGGUUAAUCCAGUAGUGAGGACAUACCAAUAACAGAGACCUGAUCUCAAUAAGCUUUUGGCAGGGAAAGCUUUAUAGCGUAUCUGUUCCUUUCUAGUUGAGGUAGAAAGGAGUUCAUACAACCAAGAGUGCAGAGCUCUUCAGUUCUCAUGGGAAUGGCUAACUGAUUCAUGGUGCAUAACAAAAAAUCUGCAGAUGACCUAAACCAUCAUACUGACUGUCAGAUUACAUUUUCUUCUUUGAUAAUAUUUUACCCAAAUGACUAACAAGUAUACACAAUGACUACUUGUGUAUUUUUCCUUUGUCUCACUUCCCUUAUCACUUAGGACAUUUCUUCUUAUUGAAAUUAAUCAACAAAUAUUAAUAGAGACAUUUAAUUAACAGUAAUUGAAGCAUUUGCUGUGCAAUGUAAGAAACACAAACUAUAUAAAGGCACUGCCCUCACUGAAUUUAGUUUACAAUUCAAUUGAUUUUAUUUGGAGUUUUUGUUCAUUUUUUAACCCAAAUUGUGGCAUAUUAUAUAACUACUGUGUACCUUGCUUUUUUUCACCUAAUGCCUCUUGGAAAGGGUUUCAUAUUAUUAUAGAAAUAUGGAAUACAUGGGACUAUGGGAUAUUCCUACGACAAGAGUAUAAAAUAUUCCAUAUAUAGGAGUAUGGAAAAUUCCAUUUACAGAAAUGUGGAAUUCAAAAGAAUAGAACUGCCUUAUUAGCCUUUUUAAACAGCUACAUAAUAUUUCAUUGUAUGAAAAUAACAUAAUUUACUUAAGUCCUUAAAUAAUGCACAUUAAAUCUUUUGCUGUUACAAAUAACGCCGCAAUGAAUAACUUUGUACAUUCGCUACUUCCCAC